AGAAAACAAUCCUAAGACUUUAUAGAGUUAUAUUCCAAUAGCUUUAAAAUACUCAAAAAUAUUUUUACUAACUGCAAUUUAAUAUUUCCGAACAUUUCUUAAUAUUUUUUUCUGCAUGUAUAAAAGGAGGUAAGCCCAAAAAAACAAAGCUAAACCAAGCAAAAAUGGAAAGAGGUAGGUGUAAUGAGCAACAAUAGGAGGAUUAAUUAAGACCGAAAAUGACAUUGCACAAUUUCAAUGCCAAUAAAACUUUGAACAGAAAAAAAUUAACUUUAAAAUUUCGAAUUAAAAUGUGCACUGAAAUUUAUGCGUGUGUUUUUAUGGACAUACCACUAAGUCACCUGAAAAUUCCUGUGAGCAAGCUAGUCAUGUUAUUAUAAAAACAUUAAUUUUUUUACUACAUUCUACUUUUUCUUCAAUAUAUCUUUAAAAUGUACGACAUUUCUCCCAGUGCAGCCACAAAGCUACCAAUCACAAGCGACGUAGAGGAAAGUAAAAGUCGCCACAAAACCCACAGAAAUAAUGAAAAGAACAAACCGCCAAAUUGAAAUCAUACUCGGCAAAAACAAACUACAAGAGAGCAGCUAAUGAUGGCCACAAGCAAAGUGGCCAAGAGAGAUAUUGGCCAAAAUAUUGAGUUAAAAACGGGAGAACUGGAGGGAUUUCUCACCCUUCUCUCAGUGUACAAAACAAAUCAAUUUGAACGCCAGUGCCAAGAAGACAAGCAAAAAACCGAGAAGUGGAAAACAAAGAGAAAUCCAAAAGAUUGUAGGCGGUUUUAUAUAUUAAUGUUAUGUGCUCAAGGUAGCAGCCGCAAACAAAUUUGAUUUGAUACGCCAGCGAUUUAUAGUUUCGCGAGCCCAUAAACAUGCAAAUUCCCUCGCACUCACUUUGAUAAAUUGUCAAUAAUAAUUACACUAGCAAUUAUGAUGUGGAUGAGAGCCUGUUCAUUUCUGUAGUCACACAUGGCGUAUACGCAACGGCCAAAGGGAGGGCACAGAUUUAGUCACUUGAAGCCAUGGAUGCAAUGCUCUCGUUAGUGAGAACUCAAGGUGUCCAAAGUGUCCAAGGUGUCCGCGAGAACCCUCGAAGUCGCCUAGUUGGGAUUCUCACUGUGGCAGUUGCAUUGCGAGUGGGUGGUUCUGGGCGGUGGUCGGAACCUUGAGGCAACGCUGGUGGCACGGAACAGUUUAAGUAUGCCAAUUUGUGCAUCGCCUGGAGGCGAAAAGCCUCUCAAGAGAGUCUAAUGCCGACGACAAUUGGCUGCAUCUGGGAAAGCCGAUUCCUACUCUCAGUUCGUGUCAUUUCAAAUUGCAUCUCUCGGGAACAACGCUACGUGGCACUUGAUUUCCCACUGAGUGCUCUGUGAAGGAAUUUCACAUUUGUCAUUAGCAAACUCAUAGAUUUCGCAUUGAAUAUACAACUUGUAUCUGUCAUUAGAAAUAUUUAGUUAAUUAGCACAUAAGGAUAUACCCCACUUCCAGCGCAAAAGAGGUCCUUUCCAAGUUUUUUGUAAAUAUCACUACAAACUUACUCUUACUUUUUAGUUAUUUUAACUACUUUUUCAGUCCUUUUAAUUUUAGAAUGUGCAUGUUCAUAAAUAAGAGUCACUGUACUUUGCGUAAAUAUUCGCUCUGAAGAAAUUAAUUAUGUAUAAUGUGUACAUUUAAAAUUCUCUCGUUUUCCCUUUCCUUUUGUAGUUGUGGCUCCUUGGCACUUUAAAUUCCUUGAAGAGCCCCAAGCACCCAAGAACUCAUUAAAUGCGGGCCAAACAAAACAUUGGCCAUAACUUUCUAUCGCUUCA